rnacentral:rRNA from 1 species
UACGAAGGGUGCAAGCGUUACUCGGAAUUACUGGGCGUAAAGCGUGCGUAGGUGGUGAGUUAAGUCUGAUGUGAAAGCCCCGGGCUCAACCUGGGAAUGGCAGUGGAAACUAGGGGACUGGAAUCUGGCAGAGGGGGGUGGAAUGCCGCGAGUAGCAGUGAAAUGCGUAGAGAUGCGGCGGAACACCGAUGGCGAAGGCAGCCCCCUGGGCUGAGAUUGACGCUCAGGCACGAAAGCGUGGGGAGCAAACAGG